rfam:Fervidicola ferrireducens strain Y170 AN618_contig000080, whole genome shotgun sequence.
CUGUAGAGGCGGUGGCUUGCAAAAGCCAUAGUUGACCAGCCUAAGGAACUGACUCGAAGGACAAGGGGAUGAUGUUCCUACGUUAUCCCUGUCAGGGCACUCUGGGGUGCGUCCCAAGCUCCAGACACUGCCGUGCAGGCUUAAACAGUCUUGAGUGGUAGGGACAGUGGUCUGCACACAGCAAGCAGGGAUAACAUUGGCGAUGGGAGAUGCAG